UGCUAGUCGCACGAGUUCAGACUCGUGGCGAAUAGCUCAGUAACACGUGGCCAAACUACCCUUCGGAACACAAUACCCUCGGGAAACUGAGGCUAAUAGUGUAUACCGUACCACCACUGGAAUGAGUGGUACGCCAAACGCUCCGGCGCCGAAGGAUGUGGCUGCGGCCGAUUAGGUAGACGGUGGGGUAACGGCCCACCGUGCCAAUAAUCGGUAUGGGUCAUGAGAGUGAGAACCCAGAGACGGAAUCUGAGACAAGAUUCCGGGCCCUACGGGGCGCAGCAGGCGCGAAACCUUUACACUGCACGACAGUGCGAUAGGGGGAUCCCAAGUGCACAGGCAUAGCGCCUGUGCUUUUCGGUACCCUAAGGCGGUACCAGAAUAAGGGCUGGGCAAGACCGGUGCCAGCCGCCGCGGUAAUACCGGCAGCCCAAGUGAUGGCCGAUCUUAUUGGGCCUAAAGCGUCCGUAGCUGGCCGCGCAAGUCCAUCGGGAAAUCCACCUGCUCAACAGGUGGGCGCCCGGUA
rnacentral:rRNA from 3 species